rnacentral:rRNA from 1 species
GGGGACGAGCUCGGUGCAGUGGAGUGGCGAAGGGCGAGGAAUAACUACCUAACGUGCCUUCAGGUAAGGGAUAGCUCAUGGAAACGUGUGGUAAUACCUUAUAAUCUCAUUAUUUCAUAUGGAGUUUUGAGCAAAGGCUUGCUGCCUGAAGAUCGGGGUAGUUCCUAUCAGCUUGUUGGUGAGGUAAUGGCUCACCAAGGCGAAGACGGGUAGCUGGUGUGAGAGCACGACCAGCCGCAUCGGGACUGAGACACUGCCCGGACUCCUACGGGAGGCUGCAGUAACGAAUAUUCCGCAAUGCGCGAAAGCGUGACGGAGCAAUGCCGCGUGUGGGAUGAAGCAUCUAGGUGUGUAAACCACUGUCAGGGUUUAGGAAACAAAUGACCAGACCCAAAGGAAGAGCCGGCUAACUCUGUGCCAGCAGCCGCGGUAAUACAGAGGGCUCAAGCGUUAAUCGGAAUCACUGGGCUUAAAGGGUCCGCAGGCGGAUCGGUAAGUAUCUUGUGAAAUACCAUGGCUCAACCAUGGAAUUGCUCGGUAAACUGCCAAUCUUGAACACGGUAGGGGCCAUCGGAACUCUAGGUGGAGCGGUGAAAUGCGUAGAUAUCUAGAGGAACGCCAGAGGCGAAGGCGGAUGGCUGGGCCGUUGU